rnacentral:rRNA from 1 species
GACGAACGCUGGCGGCGUGCUUAACACAUGCAAGUCGAACGGUGAAGCGCCUUCCGUUUUGGUGGGUGUGGAUGAGUGGCGAACGGGUGAGUAACACGUGAGUAACCUGCCCCCUUCUUCUGGAUAACCGCAUGAAAGUGUGGCUAAUACGGGAUAUUCUGGGUCUGUCGCAUGAUGGGUCUGGGAAAGAUAUUGUUUCGGUGGGGGAUGGGCUCGCGGCCUAUCAGCUUGUUGGUGGGGUGAUGGCCUACCAAGGCGGUGACGGGUAGCCGGCCUGAGAGGGUGGACGGUCACACUGGGACUGAGACACGGCCCAGACUCCUACGGGAGGCAGCAGUGGGGAAUAUUGCACAAUGGGCGCAAGCCUGAUGCAGCGACGCCGCGUGAGGGAUGGAGGCCUUCGGGUUGUGAACCUCUUUCGCCAGUGAAGCAGGCCUGCCUCGUUUGUGGGUGGGUUGACGGUAGCUGGAUAAGAAGCGCCGGCUAACUACGUG